GGUGAAAGGCUGAACUGGGGUCCUAGAGCAGGAAACAGUGGGCUCAGGCCCAGGCCCAGGCAUGUGAAGUGAGGGUAGGCAGGCGGCGGCAACAGUAAGAGUCCAAGCUGAGCUGAAGCCCCACAGACUGUCAGGGAGCUCUCUGCUUGCCUAACCCUGACAUAUACACUAGUGUCCGACCGUAGCUUGGUGUGGGCCAUGCCGUCACAGUGUUAGAUGCCGUGGAAUGAUCCUUCUGUACACUGUGUGAAUAUGCGUCACUAUGAUUGGUUUAAUGGACAAGCUGGCCAGCCAAUAGCUGAGCAGGAUAAAGUUAGUCGGGAAAGUCAAACUAAGAAUGAUGCGAUGAGGAAGGGUGGAGUCAGGGGAGUUGCCGGACAAAGCCUGAGUUGGACACACAAAAUGGGAUAGAGUAUUGAUGCAGAACAUGGAUGGCUGACCUAAAACUCACAGCUGUCCACAGCCUCUCCAAUGCUGGGGUUACAGAUGUGAGCCACCAAUCCAUACUGGUUAGUUGGCUCUCGAAUUUAGUCCGCUUUCUUUGAGUCACAGCUGAUUGGCUCCAUCAUUGCUACUCUGUGAGGUAAUAUAGAUGUCCAAGAGUCCAAGACUCUAGCCAGGAGUCACCUGCUGACUCUCCACCGGAUACGGGGUCUGCCGACUUUAACGCCUCUUCAUUAGCCCGGCUCUGGACACGGCGGCUGUAGACACGCUGUGGUGCGCAGUGUCUGUGAUCCAGCAGAGCUUACACUGUGGGAGGUGGUGGUGGACACCAGUCUUCACAAUAGGACAAAGUGAAGUAAGAAACUCCAGCACGGAAUGAAUAAAGGACCCCAACUUGA